rnacentral:rRNA from 1 species
AAAUUGAAGAGUUUGAUCAUGGCUCAGAUUGAACGCUGGCGGCAGGCCUAACACAUGCAAGUCGAACGGUAACAGGAAACAGCUUGCUGUUUCGCUGACGAGUGGCGGACGGGUGAGUAAUGUCUGGGAAACUGCCUGAUGGAGGGGGAUAACUACUGGAAACGGUAGCUAAUACCGCAUAAUGUCGCAAGACUAAAGAGGGGGACCUUC